GCACAGACCUAAAGUACUGCGGUGCAAUAUCACAUGAGAUGUUAGCCUGAGAUCUUGCUCGUGUGAUCUCGCACUAAAGUACUUUAGGUCUCAGUUCUCUGCGAUUCUUGAAGCCUUCUAACAUUUCCAAUCUCAACACAAAGUUUUUAUAAGGCAAUGGGAGGUGUCGAGGCAAUGGGAGGCUUCUAGCAUGGGAUUUAUCUCCAAAAUAUGAUUGCUGGGAUCAAGGAACAGGCCAAGUGGGGGUCCCACCCACCAGAUAGACGCCGUGGAGCAGCUGCUCCAAGGUACACUGGGGACGAAGGAGCUUUUUUCAAAAUUGUUUCAUUUCUCACAAGUCUCUGUGGAAAUUAAGCUACCUCAAUAAAUCUUAAGUUUUCUCCUAAUUUCUCCUUGGAUGUUUCCCUUGAUUAUUCCUUAACUCGAAACUGACUCUGAGUGAGAUUUGCAUAUAUAUAGAUAAUUGUAAAGAAAGGUAUGUCUAGAUAUUUUCAAAGCUUUCAUGACUCAUGAAUAUAAAAAUCAUCAUGUCUAUAUCACACCACUGUAGGCAUGCAAACGUACAACCUCAUGGAAUUUCAGAGAAAUUCAGAAGGAAAUUCACUUGACUUUCUACACUUUGAUCUUUUUCUCUAACCUUUUAUCAUUUUCAUUUCCUUUUUGCUUUGAAGGUAAUAAUGGGCAAGAGAAUCAAGAUUCUUGUGAACUGUUCCAAGUGAUCAAUGCUAAGGACGGAACGGAGAAGUUUGGAAUUCGAAUGGAAUUCGAAAACCAUGAUAGAAACCAGUCAAAGAAUUUCAACCAGGAAAGCUCAUCUUCCACUGAUGCUCCGAUGCAAGACUUUCUUGCCCAACAAGAGGAAAUAAGGAAAAAAUAUACUGGAAAAUGUGUGAAGCUAAUCAAAGCUAAAGUACAAGUAAAUGAACACUAUUUAACCCAAAACAAAGGAGAAGAUGCUAUAAGAAGACACAGUGGACAAAAUUACAAUGGGACAUUCAUUCUUUCUCUUGGAAAUAAGUUC